GCCACUGGCCACGCGUGACAAGGGCUGGCGUCCCUGUGCUGGGUGGAAAUGGAUUUGUGGCAGCGUGAUGGAGCAGUGCUCCAUUCCAGCAGAACCUUGCCUUUGGGGGAUGCUUCUGGAGACUCAUCAUCGAUUUCCAGGAACAUUCCAGAGCUCAGGGCUCCGAAUGCAGAAGCAGAAAG